UAAGACAUGGUGUAGUCGGAAACAUGGCCGCUCAUUGGUGAAUGUGAUUAUCCUUACAAGGAUUAGAAGGCAGUCCAGGGUUCGAAUCCCUGUGUCUGAA